CUUCCCGUGGCUUCGUCUGUCUGAGGGUCGG
rnacentral:rRNA from 1 species